rnacentral:rRNA from 1 species
UGCAGUCGAGCGGUAAGGCCCCUUCGGGGGUACACGAGCGGCGGACGGCUGAGUAACACGUAGGAACAUACCCCAAAGUGAGGCAUAAGCACCAGAAAUGGUGUCUAAUACCGCAUGUGAUCUUAGGAUUAAAGCUACGGCGCUUUGGGAAUGGCCUGCGUAUGAUUAGUUUGUUGGUGAGGUAAUGGCUCACCAAGACUACGAUCAUUAGUUGGUCUGAGAGGAUGAUCAGCCAGACUGGAACUGAGAACGGUCCAGACUCCUACGGGAGGCAGCAGUAGGGAAUUUUCCACAAUGGACGAAAGUCUGAUGGAGCAACGCCGCGUGCAGGAUGAAUGCCUUCGGGUUGUAAACUGCUUUUAUAUGUGACGAUAAUGACGGUAGCAUAUGAAUAAGGAUCGGCUAACUCCGUGCCAGCAGCCGCGGUCAUACGGAGGAUCCAAGCGUUAUCCGGAAUUACUGGGCGUAAAGAGUUGCGUAGGUGGCAUUGUAAGUCAAUAGUGAAAGCGUGUGGCUCAACCAUACUCACAUUGUUGAAACUACAAAGCUAGAGGAUGAGAGAGGUUAUUGGAAUUCCCAGUGUAGGAGUGAAAUCCGUAGAUAUUGGGAGGAACACCGAUGGCGUAGGCAGAUAACUGGCUCAUUCCUGACACUAAGGCACGAAAGCGUGGGUAGCAAACGGGAUUAGAUACCCCGGUAGUCCACGCUGUAAACGAUGGAUGCUAGCUGUUUUCGGUAUCGACCCCGAAUGUAGCGAAGCUAACGCGUUAAGCAUCCCGCCUGUGGAGUACGGUCGCAAGACUAAAACAUAAAGGAAUUGACGGGGACCCGCACAAGCGGUGGAGCGUGUUGUUUAAUUCGAUGGUAAACGAAGAACCUUACCCAGGUUUGACAUCCUUUGGAAUUUUGCCGA